CCUACGGGAGGCAGCAGUGGGGAAUCUUGGGCAAUGGACGCAAGUCUGACCCAGCAACGCCGCGUGAAGGAAGAAGGCUUUCGGGUUGUAAACUUCUUUUAUGGGGGAAGAGCAGGAGACAGUACCCCUUGAAUAAGCCACGGCUAACUACGUGCCAGGAGCCGCGGUAAUCUGGAGGUGGCAAGCGGUGGCCGGAUUUACUGGGGGAAAAGGGCGUGCAGCCGGAGAGACAAGUCAGAUGGGAAAUCGACGGACUCAACCCGUGAACUGCAUUUGAAACUGUUUGCCUUGAGUGUCGGAGAGGUAAUCGGAAUUCCUUGUGUAGCGGUGAAAUGCGUAGAUAUAAGGAAGAACACCAGUGGCGAAGGCGGAUUACUGGACGAUAACUGACGGUGAGGCGCGAAAGCGUGGGGAGCAAACAGGAUUAGAUACCCUGGUAGUC
rnacentral:rRNA from 1 species